UUCCCCUCCUCACCUCCUCUUUUCCUCGCCUUGGCCCCCGCCCCCACUUCUUCCCCUGGGAUGGGAGUGGGGUGAGGUUUGGGGGAGGGAUCCUGCGGGCAGAGAAAGGGAGAGGAAAAAGUUAAGGAAUCCCAAACGGAACUAAAGUUUCUCCUCUCCUGCGUCCUCUUUCGUCGGUCUCGGCCCUUGGGGCUGGGAGCUCAGCUCGGGACCUCCCGUCACGGAAGUUGGUUGAGUUGCAAGUUCCCCGUGGGGAUUGACGGGGAAUCUCCAGUGUCUGGGGCAGGCCAGGGAGGAGGUCAAGAUGACUUCAGGGCUGCUUGGGAGAGGGGGAUUCCGAGGGGACUGAGGGGUCGCGGGAGGAGGAGGCCGGCAACCAGAGGCACCGGCUCCCCGACCAGGGAGCGCGGCCUGGGCCUGGCUGGGUGGGCGGCUCCUGGGUUAUCAACUCAGGGGCAGGAAGGCUUUGGCCUUGGAGCCGGUUCGGCUGCUCUGCUCCAGGCCCUGGCGGCCCUCGCUUUCCAGUUGACCUUGCCCCCACGAAAACAGGGAGCAUUCCCAGAGAGAAAGAGGGAACCCUCGGGGCCUCGGGCGGUUUGGGGGAGUCACGUAUCAACCGGGAAACCAAGGCAACGGACGCGACAAAAUGCGACCCUGAGAAGUGUCCUUCAACAGAGCGAUUUUUUUAAGAAAGGGAAGCGAGAAAUAAGGGACAAGGAAACGGAAUCUGGAGUAUAACUUGUCUUUCCGGUCGCCCCACAUUUUCCCCUGGACCGAGCCAUGGGUUUCGACUUUACGAAGGGCUGGAGCCUGGCCGGGAAAAGACCAGAGCUCCAAGACGCCCUGGCGCGGAGGAGUGAGAAGGCUGGAUCGCUUCUAGGGAGGCCCAAACCCGCGGCUGCUAGAAGACGACUUCGGAAAGAAAUCCUCCGAAAUCUGUCAUCCAGAGGGCGAGAGAAAAGGCGCAGGGGUCCCCGAACCCCGGGAAAACUGGAAGAGAAUGUUUAAUGUGUGACUUGCUGGCAGGGCCAGCCAGGGGAGAUUUGAAAUGCUUUCGUGUUUUCAUUUACAGAGGUCGCCAUGGGCUCGGCACAAGGGGUUGGCCCCGGCAAGGUUAGCCCGUUUAGGCCCCAGAUGAGACUUGGGACGGCCCCGGUGGCAGUCAAUCCAGGGAGCCAUUUGUCCCACCCCGCGGGAAACGCAGACACUUUAUGGCCACUCUGUUUGUAUUAUCUGCGUAAGUCUUUCCCCACCAGUUUGAUCGAAACUGUUCGCUUUUACGAGGACCCAACGAAAAUUCCCCGUCAUAUUUAUCAGCCGAGGAUAAAAAUUUAGUAUGGGAACUGAUAUUUCCUCAUUUAUGGGGCGAUGAAAUUAAAGACCAAAGCAAUUGAGAAUUAUAUGGCUUUGGGGGGGUUCCCUCCCCCCUCUUUCACAUCUCCUUUAUUUUCCUGCCUGGUGUCCCUGUCCCUGGAGUUUGGCAUCCCAGUCUCCUGCCCUUGCCCCCCAUAUUGGGGUCUGCUGGGCCCUCUCCCCCAGACCCAGGUGCCGCUCGACCACCUCAGCUUCUCCUGGUCUUUCUCUCUGUGUUAGUAGCUGGGGGCCGGGACAGCAUUCCCUGAGCCUCUCUGCCCAGGCCAGGCUGGGAUCGGGUGGGGCUGCGGAAGGUUUCCAAGAGCCUCGAAGUGGAAGGGUCUGGGCCCAGCCUGGGAGGGGGUGAGGGAGGCGGCAGAGUGAAGGAGACAAACUCCAGAUAACCUCUCAAAAACGUCAAGCCCCACGGCUUAACCUGGGGAACCAGCGGUAGAGAAGCAGAGUCACUCGGCUUUGAGACCUGUCUCCCCUACCAGCCUGACCCCCAUCCCAAACUCACUCCUUACCUCAGCCCUGAGUGGGGAUGGAGUCGCUUUCAGAAUCCUUGCCAUUAUUAAUGGAAACAAUCCCCCUGGGAGAAGGAGUCUCGCGCCUCUACUCCCAUCUCCUCACAAGAACGAAUAGUGUUUAAAGUUGAAAUAAUUAGAAGUAUGAUAAACAUGGCCCAUUAAUGAAAAAAGAAAUCAAAUUCAUCAGCCUAAGUGGGACCCCCGGUGGGACAAAUGUUUGCCUUUAAUUACGCAGGAAAAACGCAAACCCGGAGCUGUUAAACAAGAACCGGAAGACGCCGACUUGAAUAACUUGUUGGGUUUUUGCAAACUUGGGAUUCUGCACCAGUGGAGACGAAAGGAAGGAAGACGUGAGGGAGUGCUGCAUCUAUGCCUGACUCCCCGGGGCUCCCUCUUCUUGCCUCAACUUGGGGGAUGUGAAAAUCCGGGGGCUUCAGGCCAGAUCGGCUCAGGCUGCACCUACCUUUUGACCAACCCCUCUACCCCGAGAGCUCUGGUCCCCGUGCCCUUCUUCCCGGUACCUAGACCCUGGAAGUGCAGCAGGGAUGAGCAGCUGGGCCUCCUGCCGCCCGUGGGACUGUGACCAAGGGAGAGGUGAAGGGUGCUCCUCACAGACUUCAGGGUGGUCAGCGGGUUCCAGACGGCAGGCUGAGGACUGGGGCGCUAGGGGUCCCCAUGUGAAAACAGAAGAAGGAAAAUCUAGUGCUCAGUGAACAGAAAGGAACCUCGGCUGCUUUCCAGGCUCUAGCCCUCAAAGCACCCCAGAGGCACCCUGAUUUCUCCAAGGAAAAUUAGUGGAGCUUCCCCACAAGGCUAAGGACGCCAUCUAGGAAAUUCCAAAGGUGAGGUGAAAAGAAGGAAGAGUGUCUUUCCCUUUGGGAUAAAAUAAUAAAAUAAUUAUACUGUGUGUGUGUGUGUGUGUGUGUGUGUGUGUGUGUGUGUGUGU